AUCAAAUGGGCUAACCCAUUUGUAUCACAAGUUGACUUUUCCCAGGUUGCUGACCGUGAAUAAAUGCCAUGGACCCGUGGACCACUCCCUUCACAUGGACCCUUAGCAUUUUUUUUGUGAGCCGCGACUCACCUGGGACGCAUGAAACAGAGCUUCUCUGUUUCACGCGUCCGCAACCCUUCCGACCGGGGAUUGCGCGGCCAACCGGCCUCCGGCCAGACGGCCGACUGGACCGGAAUGUGCGGUUUUGAACCGCCAACAUUCCAGUCCAGUUUGAUUUUUGAAAUCCGGCAAUAAUAGGCAUUAAUCGCUGUUUUAUUCCAUGGUUGUUUUUGAAACAACCGUUAUCAAAUUCAUUCAUAUUUGAUAAUGAAUGAAUUCAAUAACGCUAGACCAUUACGCCUCUUAACUCCUCUCAGCGUUGGCCUAUUUGUAGGCCACCGUUUCCUCUCGAAUGGAGAGAGAGAAAAAAAAUUUCUUGGGAAGAAAACGUG
rnacentral:lncRNA from 1 species